GUAUCCAUAUUGUGGGCAUUGUAAUAAAAGUAAUUGGAAGCGAUCCCAUGCUUUAUGAAAGGACUCAGAAUCCUUUUGGAAAAAAAUAGAAAUUUCAGCCCUUAAUUC
rfam:Ricinus communis cultivar Hale ctg_1100012359432, whole genome shotgun sequence.